rnacentral:tRNA from 1 species
ACCUGAGUGGCUCAGUCAGUUGAGUGUCUGACUUCAGUUCAGGUCAUGAUCUCAUGGUUCAUGGGUUCGACCCCAUAUCAGGCU